rnacentral:rRNA from 1 species
UACAACUUUCAACAACGGAUCUCUUGGCUCUCGCAUCGAUGAAGAACGCAGCGAAAUGCGAUACGUAAUGUGAAUUGCAGAAUUCAGUGAAUCAUCGAAUCUUUGAACGCACCUUGCGCCCCUUGGCAUUCCGAGGGGCACACCCGUUUGAGUGUCGUGAAAUCUUCAAAACCCCCUUUCUUUGAUCCUUUUUUGGUCGGGAAAAGGGUUUUUGGACUUGGAGGUUCAAUGCUUGCUUUUACUUUCAAAAGUAAGCUCAKMCUAAAUGAAUUAGUGGGGUUCACUUUGCUGAUCUUUAACGUGAUAAGAUGUUUCUAUGUUUUGGAUUUGGCACUGUCCCUUGGACACCUGCUUCCAACUGUCUUAUAGACAAUGAUGGUGCUCUGGUCACUGCCAUUCUACAUUGUGGCGGGGAGGCUGGACCCAAAGAAAAGAAUCUUGACCUCAAAUCGGGUGAGACUACCCGCUGAACUUAAGCAUAUCAAUAAGCGGAGGAAAA